GCGGCUGUGGUCUAGUCUGGUUAGGAUUGAGGCCCCCCAAGCCUCAGAUCGCGGGUUCGAAUCCCGCCAGCCGCA
rnacentral:tRNA from 1 species